UACGUAGGGGGCUAGCGUUGUCCGGAAUCAUUGGGCGUAAAGAGCGUGUAGGCGGCCCGGUAAGUCCGCUGUGAAAGUCGGGGGCUCAACCCUCGAAUGCCGGUGGAUACUGUCGGGCUAGAGUGCGGAAGAGGCGAGUGGAAGUUCCUGGUGUAGCGGUGAAAUGCGCAGAUAUCAGGAGGAACACCGAUUGCGAAGGCAGCUCGCUGGGACGUCACUGACGCUGAGACGCGAAAGCGUGGGGAGCAAACAGG
rnacentral:rRNA from 1 species